GCUGGCAUAGUGAUGAUAACCCUUUGCCGUUUACCCAGCUGAUUUUUUGAUGAAUAACAUUGUAUCUGAUGUGCCAGC